rnacentral:rRNA from 1 species
ACUCCUACGGGAGGCAGCAGUAGGGAAUCUUCCACAAUGGACGAAAGUCUGAUGGAGCAACGCCGCGUGAGUGAAGAAGGGUUUCGGCUCGUAAAACUCUGUUGUUAAAGAAGAACAUAUCUGAGAGUAACUGUUCAGGUAUUGACGGUAUUUAACCAGAAAGCCACGGCUAACUACGUGCCAGCAGCCGCGGUAAUACGUAGGUGGCAAGCGUUGUCCGGAUUUAUUGGGCGUAAAGCGAGCGCAGGCGGUUUUUAAGUCUGAUGUGAAAGCCUUCGGCUCAACCGAAGAAGUGCAUCGGAAACUGGGAAACUUGAGUGCAGAAGAGGACAGUGGAACUCCAUGUGUAGCGGUGAAAUGCGUAGAUAUAUGGAAGAACACCAGUGGCGAAGGCGGCUACCUGGUCUGCAACUGACGCUGAGACUCGAAAGCAUGGGUAGCGAACAGGAUUAGAUACCCUGGUAGGAUAGCG